rnacentral:rRNA from 1 species
GACGAACGCUGGCGGCGUGCUUAACACACGCAAGUCGAACGGUAAGGCCCUUCGGGGUACACGAGUGGCGAACGGGUGAGUAACACGUGGGUGAUCUGCCCUGCACUUCGGGAUAAGCCUGGGAAACUGGGUCUAAUACCGGAUAGGACCACUGCCUGCAUGGGUGGUGGUGGAAAGCUUUUGCGGUGUGGGAUGGGCCCGCGGCCUAUCAGCUUGUUGGUGGGGUGAUGGCCUACCAAGGCGACGACGGGUAGCCGGCCUGAGAGGGUGACCAGCCACGCUGGGACUGAGAUACGGCCCAGACUCCUACGGGAGGCAGCAGUGGGGAAUAUUGCACAAUGGGCGCAAGCCUGAUGCAGCGACGCCGCGUGAGGGAUGACGGCCUUCGGGUUGUAAACCUCUUUCAGCACCGACGAAGCGCAAGUGACGGUAGGUGCAGAAGAAGGACCGGCCAACUACGUGCCAGCAGCCGCCGUAA